rnacentral:sRNA from 1 species
GUUCUAUUAAUGACGAGCCCGCGACUUAGGCGAAUUGGACGGAUUACAAAGGAUGAUUUCUUCAACAAGCAUAAAUGGAAAAAGAACGAGCCGAUUGUAGAUGAAAGACGAGCUUGAGGCCGGAAAACGAUCUUGAUAUCCGAGGAAGAAUAGAGUUUAUUCGUUUUAUAGCUGAACCUUGUAAAAGGCUGCCUACGUACCCUCAGAAAGGGAUCAAGCCACACGUAGUUCAUAUUAGAAUAAGUGAGCUAGGCCGUCAUUGGAGGUAGGUCGGCAGGUAGUUGACGAGCCGGCAAAUGUGCGACGAGCUGGAUGAACCGUGGUAGAGAGA